GACGAACGCUGGCGGCGUGCCUAAUACAUGCAAGUUGAGCGCUGAAGGUUGGUACUUGUACCAACUGGAUGAGCAGCGAACGGGUGAGUAACGCGUGGGGAAUCUGCCUUUGAGCGGGGGACAACAUUUGGAAACGAAUGCUAAUACCGCAUAAAAACUUUAAACACAAGUUUUAAGUUUGAAAGAUGCAAUUGCAUCACUCAAAGAUGAUCCCGCGUUGUAUUAGCUAGUUGGUGAGGUAAAGGCUCACCAAGGCGAUGUUACAUAGCCGACCUGAGAGGGUGAUCGGCCACAUUGGGACUGAGACACGGCCCAAACUCCUACGGGAGGCAGCAGUAGGGAAUCGUCGGCAAUGGACGAAAGUCUGACCGAGCAACGCCGCGGGAGUGAAGAAGGUUGUCGGAUCGUAAAACUCUGUUGGUAGAGAAGAACGUUGGUGAGAGUGGAAAGCUCAUCAAGUGACGGUAACUACCCAGAGAGGGACGGCUAACUACGUG
rnacentral:rRNA from 1 species